AUUGAACGCUGGCGGCAUGCCUUACACAUGCAAGUCGAACGGUAACGCGGGGCAACCUGGCGACGAGUGGCGAACGGGUGAGUAAUGUAUCGGAACGUGCCCAGUUGUGGGGGAUAACUGCUCGAAAGAGCAGCUAAUACCGCAUACGACCUGAGGGUGAAAGCGGGGGAUCGCAAGACCUCGCGCAAUUGGAGCGGCCGAUAUCAGAUUAGGUAGUUGGUGGGGUAAAGGCUAACCAAGCCAACGAUCUGUAGCUGGUCUGAGAGGACGACCAGCCACACGGGGACUGAGACACGGCCCAGACUCCUACGGGAGGCAGCAGUGGGGAAUUUUGGACAAUGGACGCAAGUCUGAUCCAGCCAUGCCGCGUGCGGGAAGAAGGCCUUCGGGUUGUAAACCGCUUUUGUCAGGGAAGAAACGCUCUGGGUUAAUACCUCGGGGUAAUGACGGUACCUGAAGAAUAAGCACCGGCUAACUACGUGCCAGCCGCCGCAGUAAAAC
rnacentral:rRNA from 1 species